AACUCUGUUGGAGUUUGUUGUGUUGGCAGCUUGCAACACCCCUCAUUAUCACAUCGAUGCAUGCAACCACUCACUUACACACCAUUGUUACUUGUUUGUAGUGUACUUAAGUAUAAUAAAUAUUUUUGUUACUCCUCGAUCUCCACGUUGUCUACAUUUUUUUGUUAGGAGACGGUUUGUGAUGUGGGGGCUCAUCCGGGAUCUUAAGGUGGUGGUCUGCGUUGGAGAGUAACGUCGGUUAGUUUCCAGGCCCCUGCCUACGCUGGAAACUCCUGUACCAACAGCAAGUAGAGCAUCGGUCUGAGUAGGGCUAUGAGCCGGAAUCGUGACAGACAUCCCGCAGGUGAAGAAGCCGGAUGGAGUUCCUGGGCUGGCGAGGUUACACAUGGUCUGUGGUUGAGGAUGGUUGGAUAUACUGAGAAAUUCUCUAAAAUGGAGGCAGCUUAUGGUAGAGAAAAGAAAAUUGCAUUCUCUGGCAACAGCUCUGGUGGACAUUUCUAGAGUCAGCAUGACAAUUGCAUCCUCCCUCAACUUGAGGCAUCUGUGGCAACUGCACAUUUUAGUGGCCUUUUAUUGUCCCCAGUACAAGGUGCCCCUGUGUAAUGAUCAUGCUGUUUAUUAAACAGCUUCUUGUAAGCCACACCUGUCAGCUGGAUGGGUUCUCUUGGCAAAAGAGAAAUGCUCACUAAGUUAUGUAAACAAAUUGAGAGAAAUAUUUUUAUUAACUGUUCAGCAGGCUUAUGGCUUGGGGGUAGAAGCUGUUAAGGUGCCUUUUGGUCCCAGACUUGGCACUCCGGUACUGCUUGUCGUGCAGUAGC